rnacentral:rRNA from 1 species
UACGUAGGGGGCAAGCGUUGUCCGGAUUUACUGGGCGUAAAGAGCGCGUAGGCGGAAAUUUAAGCGUGGCCUGAAAGCCCCCGGCUCAACCGGGGAGUGCGGCUGCGAACUGGGUUUCUUGAGGACGAUAGAGGAGAGUGGAAUUCCUGGUGUAGCGGUGAAAUGCGUAGAUAUCAGGAGGAACACCCGAGGCGAAGGCGGCUCUCUGGGCAUUAACUGACGCUGAGGAGCGAAAGCAUGGGGAGCGAACAGG